ensembl:lncRNA
AUAAAUGAGAGACACCUGUGAGCUGAGCUGCUGCUAACAAAGGAAGCAUGAAGAACAAUAGAGAGAAGUGGCAAAAAAGACAACCAGUAGACUUUUACAAGAACUGUACAGCUUCUGGUCAACUUUGAUCCAGAACUAGCUUGUUUAGUGAACAUUUGCUGGUCCAUGUGGAACUGAAGGAUAUCAGCUGAUCUCAGGAGCAGGACUGGAUAUGCAUCAUACAUCAGACAGCUGCCUGGAGGUGGAGUCUCUGAACUUUUUGAUCGCACCUUGAAGUACAGCAGUCAUCUCAGCUCUUUCCAAGUACAUUCAGUCAUUUAGUAGAGUCUGUCAAGUGUAAAGGUGUUCAGUGAAGACCUGGGUUUUUAGUCUUUUCUUAAAGACAGAAAGAAACUCUGCAGAUCGAACAGAGUUUGGUAACUCCUUCCACCACCGGGGAACCACAGAGGAGAAGAGUCUAGCUAUGGACCGGCCCUGUUGUGGUGGUUGUAUCUGAUGCCCUUUGUUGGCCAAGCGAGCAAAGCAACUCCUACAGAUUAGCUUGAAACUUGUUGAUUGAACCUUGUGAAAAAAUUCUAAACAAGCAACAAAAAAUUACCCAAUAUGCCAUUUGUUUAAUGUGUGAAUGUCAGCCCUGGAAGACACGACAUGUUGUCUACAUUAUCUGUAGGGGGAAAAAUAGGCCAACAAUCCGGAACAAGCACUACUCUGACAGUAUUGAUCAUGUUGGGGUUGAGGGUGGGUGUUUGCAGGUGAUGGUGAGGUUGGCAGCCAUUCUGAUGGGCUCAUGUUUCCCUGCCUGCGAUCUCGGAUGAAGAUUCAUGGUGGCCACGACUGCUCCGUGUCCGCCGCGAAUCCAGGAAGGAUAUUUAUGUUGACAGUGCUCCUUCUCCCACCAAGCCCGGGAGGAGGAUCACACAACCUGUCACUCAGAUUGAUGUCUCCCCUGACGGUACAAGUUAAAAGCAAAGGAGGAGAAGGUAAUGAAGAGAGGCUAGAAGAUGGAGAAUGCUUCCAGGGUUCGAGACGGAUGAAGAUGAUCUCUCGCUGCUGCAUCAUCGGUAUGCAAUUCAUCGCAUUGACGUUCACACAUGCACAAAAACCAUACUGUACGUACUGGGAGUUGUACCCAGAGCACCGUUGUGUGGAACAAAGCUGCCGUAUUUCACACAGGAUUUGUUGAAUAUGUCUUUGAUGUGUUCGCCUGUUCACGAGAGGAGAAAAAAGUGGGUAUUAGGAGGAGCUUGAUACAGUAUGGAUCAAAUAAAAUGAAAAUCAAAAGGCA